rnacentral:rRNA from 1 species
UACAGAGGGUGCAAGCGUUAAUCGGACUUACUGGGCGUAAAGGGCGCGUAGGCGGAUGCGUAAGUCAGAUGUGAAAGGCCAUGGCUUAACCAUGGAAUGUCAUUUGAGACUGCGCGUCUAGAGUCGAAGAGAGGGAAGCGGAAUUUCCGGUGUAGCGGUGAAAUGCGUAGAUAUCGGAAGGAACACCCGUAGCGAAGGCGGCGUUCUGGACUGCAACUGACACUGAGGAACGAAAGCCAGGGGAGCAAACGGG